GACGAACGCUGGCGGCGUGCUUAACACAUGCAAGUUGAACGGGUCAUAUAUGAAGGGUAACCGGAGUGUAUGGCUAGUGGCGAACGGGUGAGUAAUGCAUGAGAACGUAUCCUCAAGAGGGGGACAACAUUGGGAAACCGAUGCUAAUACCCCAUAAGCCGGGAGGUAAAAGGAGGAAUCCGCUUGAGGAGCGGCUCAUGUCCUAUCAGCUAGUUGGCGAGGUAACGGCUCACCAAGGCGAAGACGGGUAGCCGGCCUAAGAGGGUGAACGGCCACACUGGAACUGAGAGACGGUCCAGACUCCUACGGGAGGCAGCAGUGGGGAAUAUUGGGCAAUGGGGGAAACCCUGACCCAGCGACGCCGCGUGAGGGAAGAAGGCCUUAGGGUCGUAAACCUCUGUUGUGUGGGAAGAAGAGCGUGACGGUACCACACGAGGAAGUCCCGGCUAACUACGUG
rnacentral:rRNA from 1 species